rnacentral:tRNA from 1 species
GGGGGUAUAGCUACGUCAGUGGUAGAGCGCUCGCUUCGCAUCUGAGAAGUCCGGGGUUUAAACCCCCGUACCUCCA